UCAUAGGUCCUCUCCGACCUCACAGCCGAUG
rnacentral:sRNA from 1 species